rnacentral:rRNA from 1 species
UGCCAGCAGCCGCGGUAAUACGGAGACUGCGAGCGUUACUCGGAUUCACUGGGCGUAAAGGGUGCGUAGGCGGACAGAUGUGUCAGGUGUGAAAGCCCAGAGCUCAACUCUGGAACUGCGCCUGAAACUAUUUGUCUAGAGUAUCGGAGAGGUAAGCGGAAUUCCUAGUGUAGCGGUGAAAUGCGUAGAUAUUAGGAAGAACACCAGUGGCGAAGGCGACUUUCUGGCUCGUAACUGACGCUGAGGCACGAAAGCGUGGGGAGCAAACAGGAUUAGAUA